rnacentral:rRNA from 1 species
UAGGGAAUAUUGGACAAUGGGUGAGAGCCUGAUCCAGCCAUGCCGCGUGCAGGAAGAAGGCCUUCUGGGUUGUAAACUGCUUUUGCCGGGGGAUAAAACGGCCCUGCGGGGCAACUUGAAGGUACCCGGUGAAUAAGCCACGGCUAACUACGUGCCAGCAGCCGCGGUAAUACGUAGGUGGCAAGCGUUGUCCGGAUUUAUUGGGUUUAAAGGGUGCGUAGGCGGCCCCGUAAGUCAGUGGUGAAACACAUCCGCUCAACGGUUGAGGUGCCAUUGAUACUGCGGGGCUUGAGUACAGACGAGGUAGGCGGAAUUGACGGUGUAGCGGUGAAAUGCAUAGAUAUCGUCAAGAACACCGAUAGCGAAGGCAGCUUACUAGACUGUAACUGACGCUGAGGCACGAAAGUGUGGGGAUCAAACAGG